rnacentral:pre_miRNA from 1 species
UAUUAAAUUUUUUUAUCAAUUUCUACUAUUAAAAAUUGAUGUGGCUGAUAAAAUAACUAGACAGUUACACGUGGUGUGCUACAUGUAUCUCAUUCUAAUGUAUAUAGACAGGUUUUUAACAAUAGACAUGAGUACAAUUUUUAAUA